GGUGGGCGCUUGGACUUUUAUCCCCUUUUGACCAGAAAUAAAAUACACCGUGGCUCUCCUUCUCCUCUUGCUAGGUCACUUUCUUCUUGGAAAGCCAGUCGCCAUAUUGUGAGGAUGCUCAAGCAAGCCUGUGGAGAGGACCAAACCAUGAGGAACUGAGACCCCGCCCACAACCCCACCCCCGGAAAUAGCUCUGAAAGGCGCCAUCUUGUUGGGAAAGGGUAGCCUGCUGACCUCAGGGCUGACCCCUUGACGUCACUGUCUCCCAGAUGGAGCAGAAGCAUCCCUAAUAUUGUGGUCCACAGAAUCUCAGCUUCGUUACUUAACUCCGUGGCCGUCAUUGAAUCAUCUCCUCCCCGAGCCUCAGUUUCCCCAAGUCUUAAGCAGAGUGUAAGUAACAUCUACCCUGGAAACACUGUGUUCUUGGCUUUGCUUUUUGAGAGAUUUUAAUAAAAAGAAAAGCCAUUUAAAGUCAGACUCACA